rnacentral:rRNA from 1 species
GUACACGCUGUGACUAGCAUAUCAAUAAGCGGAGGAAAAGAAACUAACAAGGAUUCCCCUAGUAACGGCGAGUGAAGCGGGAAGAGCUCAAAUUUGAAAUCUUAAAGGGUUUCCCUUUACGAAUUGUAGUUUAAAGAAGUGUUUUCUGUUGAGGUUUUGGUAAAAGUUCUUUGGAAUAGGACAUCAUAGAGGAUGAGAAUCCCGUAUUUGACCUUUACUUUCAACUUUGUGAUACACUUUCAAAGAGUCGGACUGUUUGGGAAUGCAGUCCAAAAUGGGUGGUAAAUUUCAUCUAAAGCUAAAUAUUGGCGAGAGACCGAUAGCGAACAAGUACCGUGAGGGAAAGAUGAAAAGAACUUUGAAAAGAGAGUUAAACAGUACGUGAAAUUGUCAAAAGGGAAGCGUUUGACACCAGUGUUGUUUUUCUGAAAAUCAAUUAAAGAACUGUUUAUGCUAAGUUGUUUAGACUUUAUCAGCUAACUGUUUAGUUUUGAGCUUUUCUUUAAUGCACUUUUCAGUUAACAAGUCAACAUCAAUUUCUUUUGCUGUAAAAAAGCUCGAGGAAGGUGGCUUGAGAUUCGUCUUAAGUGUUUAUAGCCUCUUGCCUAUGCAGUCGGAGAGAUUGAGGUCUGCAGGCGUAGAUCCUUCGGGGCUAAAUGCAUUUGUGCUAAGUUAUAGCAUUUUAUAGACAACUUGUUGACUAUGAUUUGUCUUGUAGCUUACUCGCUUAUGUUAUUUUACCUACGCUUAGGAUGUUGAGUCGUAGAGCACGCAG